GCUCGCACUCCCGCUCCUCCGCCCGACCGCGCGCUCGCCCCGCCGCUCCUGCUGCAGCCCCAGGGCCCCUCGCCGCCGCCACCAUGGACGCCAUCAAGAAGAAGAUGCAGAUGCUGAAGCUCGACAAGGAGAACGCCUUGGAUCGAGCUGAGCAGGCGGAGGCCGACAAGAAGGCGGCGGAAGACAGGAGCAAGCAGCUGGAAGAUGAGCUGGUGUCACUGCAAAAGAAACUCAAGGGCACCGAAGAUGAACUGGACAAAUACUCUGAGGCUCUCAAAGAUGCCCAGGAGAAGCUGGAGCUGGCAGAGAAAAAGGCCACCGAUGCUGAAGCCGACGUAGCUUCUCUGAACAGACGCAUCCAGCUGGUUGAGGAAGAGUUGGAUCGUGCCCAGGAGCGUCUGGCAACAGCUUUGCAGAAGCUGGAGGAAGCUGAGAAGGCAGCAGAUGAGAGUGAGAGAGGCAUGAAAGUCAUUGAGAGUCGAGCCCAAAAAGAUGAAGAAAAAAUGGAAAUUCAGGAGAUCCAACUGAAAGAGGCCAAGCACAUUGCUGAAGAUGCCGACCGCAAAUAUGAAGAGGUGGCCCGUAAGCUGGUCAUCAUUGAGAGCGACCUGGAACGUGCAGAGGAGCGGGCUGAGCUCUCAGAAGGCCAAGUCCGACAGCUGGAAGAACAAUUAAGAAUAAUGGAUCAGACCUUGAAAGCAUUAAUGGCUGCAGAGGAUAAGCAAAUGUGCCGAGCUUGAAGAAGAAUUGAAAACUGUGACGAACAACUUGAAGUCACUGGAGGCUCAGGCUGAGAAGUACUCGCAGAAGGAAGACAGAUAUGAGGAAGAGAUCAAGGUCCUUUCCGACAAGCUGAAGGAGGCUGAGACUCGGGCUGAGUUUGCGGAGAGGUCAGUAACUAAAUUGGAGAAAAGCAUUGAUGACUUAGAAGACGAGCUGUACGCUCAGAAACUGAAGUACAAAGCCAUCAGCGAGGAGCUGGACCACGCUCUCAACGAUAUGACUUCCAUGUAAACGUUCAUCCACUCUGCCUGCUUACACCCUGCCCUCAUGCUAAUGUAAUAAACUCACCACCAUGCCUUCCUUGCUCCCUAAUCUCCAUCUUUGCACUCUUGUGUUCACCCUUUUUGUCAUAACCUAGAAUAGUCAUUGUUUUUUCACUUUCUGCUAAUAUAAAGGCCAAUUAGAUUAAGUCUGUCUAUACAAACCAUUUUCUUUUCAGAAUCCGUUUAUUUUGUAAACGCUGAACUAGAGCAGUGAACUAGAAUGAGUGACCUUGAGCACUGUCCUUUUGGGAAAUUAAGCUAAACUCAAGUAAAACUAGAAGGCCAUGCCGUUUGUUGUACAGGAACUUCUCAAAAAAUAUCAAAAUUUGUUUCCUGAAAUUCAACUAAGUACAACAUAAUCAUUUUCGUUAAAUAUAAUUUGAAGGAACCCUUAAAGUGUCAGGUUAUUGAGAAUCUGAGGAUAAGGAAAUUGGCAUGAUCCAAUACAGCUUUAACAGUGGUACUACAAAAGAUCAUCUCUUUUACUUUUAAGAAUUCUAGAGUAGGCCGGGCACAGUGGCUCACGCCUGUAAUCCCAGCACUUUGGGAGGCCGAGGCGGGCGGAUCACGAGGUCAGGAGAUUGAGACCAUCCUGGCUAACACGGUGAAACCCUGUCUCUACUAAAAAUACAAAAAAAAUUAGCCGGGCGUGGUGGUGGAUGCCUGUAGUCCCAGCUACUCAGGAGGCUGAGGCAGGAGAAUGGCAUGAACCCGGGAGGUGGAGCUUGCAGUCAGCCGAGAUCGCACCACCGCACUCCAGCCUGGACGACAGAGCGAGACUCUGUCUCAAGAAAAAAAAGAAUGGUAGAGUAAAAAGAACCCUCUGCUGAGUAACCAAGCCUUUAAUUUUGUGUUUUUAUGAAAGGAAUUAAAAUACCCACGAUAAAUAUUUACCACAACCUGUGUCAAAUAAAUGGGAAAUUAAACACAGAUUGUACAAUGUGAGCUUGGGAGUUAAUGGCCCAGAUUUUACUGUUAGGCAGUAAGAGUUGGAGUAGGUAGUCUUGUUAUCAUGAGAAGAACCUUGAACAGAUACAACUAAUUUACAUAUUACUAACCAAACUUAAACAUUAAACUUUUUCUACUACUUUAAAUUCUAACCUGGAAUGUUUCAGAGUUCUUCAUUCUAAUAUCACCCUGAAUUCCAUUGAAGCUGGAAAUGUCAUUUUCCAAGCCCACCUGUCAUUCAUUUACCCAUGCAGAAAAAAUGGUAACUUGAAGAGAGUGGCAUGUGCCUGCUGCCUUAGAGGUUAUAGAAUCCCCACAGUCAACAAAAAAGCCUCUAGAGACAUGACUGUUGCCAUGGAAACCAGAGAAAAUGUGUCUUCUCAUCCCUCAUUUGUAAAUGAGGGGGUGGAGCAGAUCAUCUGUCUCUAAGGUCUUUUUCAGUGCUAAAAUGUGGUGAUUCUUUGGGAAAAACUUUUUGCAUCAAGUAUGAUUAAAUAUUCUGAAAGACGAGUGUAGCUUAAAAUUUUUUUUGUUUUUAAAUUCUGUUCAUGGGUCUUCUUAAAAUGGACCCUUGCCGAAAGGCGGCCUGUGACGGCCUCAGGUGGGAAGAUGGAUGUCCUUCCAAGGGUGUGGCUGGCAGUGGGGUUUGCAUGACUGCUUCUUGUCUGUGUUUCAAGUGCUCUCAUCUAUUGGUUUGGUUUCCUUUCUUUUUUUUUUUUUUCUCAUUGUGCCACUUUUUUUUUCCUCCCACCUUUUUAUCUUCACGCAGAUAAGUUUCUUUGCUUCACUUCUCCCAAGACUCCCUCGUCGAGCUGGAUGUCCCACCUCUCUGAGCUCUGCAUUUGUCUAUUCUCCAGCUGACCCUGGUUCUCUCUCUUAGCAUCCUGCCUUAGAGCCAGGCACACACUGUGCUUUCUAUUGUACAGAAGCUCUUCGUUUCAGUGUCAAAUAAACACUGUGUAAGCUAUUUCUGUUUGCUAUUCUUUUUACUUCUUAUUUAUUGACAUUUUAGUUUCAACAUUGAAUAAAACUACAAAGCUGCUUCACACAUA